rnacentral:lncRNA from 12 species
UAGGGAGGUCAGAAUCAGCACCCCCCCCGCCCCCCCCGCGCCAGGCUCUGCCCCUCCCGAGGAAUGAUCCGGAACAGUAGUCACACCUUCUUUCUGAAUCUCCUCUUUUUUUUUUUUCCUACAGCAAAAUGAGCAAAUCCAGUGGCUUCCUGAGAUUUCCACCAGCUCCACAGUCGGUGAUUAGCAAUUGCCAGGGACAUCUGCAGUUCAUAGACCAUUUGCAAAAUGAACCA